CCCUUAGAGUUUGAUCCUGGCUCAGGACGAACGCUGGCGGCGCGCUUAACACAUGCAAGUCGAACGGAGCUUACUUCCUUCGGGAGGUAAGCUUAGUGGCGAACGGGUGCGUAACACGUGAGUGACCUGCCCUUGUGCGGGGGAUAACCGCGGGAAACCGCGGCUAAUACCGCAUGACAUCUGUUGCCCGCAUGGGUGAGAGAUCAAAGGUGCUUUAUUGCACUGCGCAGGGAGGGGCUCGCGGCGUAUCAGCUAGACGGUGGGGUAACGGCCUACCGUGGCAAUGACGCGUAGGGGGUCUGAGAGGAUGGCCCCCCACAUUGGGACUGAGAUACGGCCCAGACUCCUACGGGAGGCAGCAGUGGGGAAUCUUGCGCAAUGGGAGCAAUCCUGACGCAGCGACGCCGCGUGCGGGAGGACGCCUUUCGGGGUGUAAACCGCUGUCACCGGGGACGAACGGGGCUGGGAGGCAAUGCCCAGCUUUUGACGGUACCCGGAGAGGAAGCACCGGCUAACUCCGUGCCAGCAGCCGCGGUAAUACGGAGGGUGCGAGCGUUGUUCGGAAUUAUUGGGCGUAAAGCGCACGUAGGCGGCUCUUUAAGUCUGUCUGUGAAAUGCCGGGGCUCAACCCCGUGCAGUGCAGGGGAUACUGGAGGGCUUGAGAGAUGCAGAGGCCAGCGGAAUUCCGGGUGUAGCGGUGGAAUGCGUAGAGAUCCGGAAGAACACGGGCGGCGAAAGCGGCUGGCUGGGCAUCAUCCGACGCUGAGUGCGAAAGCGUGGGGAGCAAACAGAUAGAUACCCUGGUAGUCACGCCGUA
rnacentral:rRNA from 1 species